ACAAAAUGGCUGACCUCUGAUCGUAACGACAUUUCGUUUUAUCAAAAGCAUUUUAUCGACGGCAACAUCGAUUUUUUUUCAUAGCCGAUUGGAUAAAGUGCCCGGAUUGUGAUCAGUUUAUUUUGGAGUUCAAAUCUUAAAUCCAGAGCACACAGAUAUCAUUAACCGUCGCCUUUUUGUCAGGAGGUGCCAUUGGCAUCGUUUUACUUUCAUCUGUUAUGAUCGUUAUCGUCAUUAUAAGACGGCGACGCAGUUUGCAAAAGAAGAAAGGAAACACUGACUACGAAGAAAGAAUUCACCAAUCAGACCUUAGAGAUCAUGAGUACGCUGGUAUAGAACACAUUUCUAACCUCAGUGAUGAUGACCUUACAAAAGUAUCUUCAGUUUCUGAAAACAUCAACCCCCAUAAUACAGUCAGAGAUGGACAUUAUGAGGAGACAAGUACUUCGCCAAACGAAAAUGACCACGAAUAUGCGGAACUGAAAAUGGUUCAGAUGAGUCUACCAAGGGAGACAACUGAAAAAAGGACCAAGUGAUUCUUAAACCGUGUACAGAUAUAUAUGCUAUCAAAUUGCGCACGACUCUUAUUAAGAAAAGAUUCCUGGUUUAUUAAUUUAGUUUUUUCAACAUUUUUAAUGCUUUAAACAGCCCAUAAUGACAUUGAAAUAUAUACUUUUGAGAUCAAAUCAAAUUAACGCAUAUACAUGUAUGAACAAUAAAUUAAAAUAAUUGAUCAUAGUGAAAACAAAACAAAUAAUCAUGCAAUUAGUGUUCCAUUGUUUAUACUUUUUACCUCAACUUUGUUUGUUACAUUGCAUGAUUCAUGAAGACUUUUACAAUUAAU
rnacentral:misc_RNA from 1 species